GCAGUCGAGUGGCAACGUGAGGUCUAUGUUUUUAGAUUUCGAUGGCGACCGUCGAACGGGUGCGUAACACGUACGUAUCUUACCUUGUGCUAGCAGAUAGCCUGAGGAAACUUGGAUUAAUAUGCUAUAACAUAGUAUUAUUGCAUGAUAAUAGUAUUAAAGCAGAUAUGCGGCACAAGAUAGGCGUGCGUCUGAUUAGUUAGUUGGUAGGGUAAAAGCCUACAGAGACAAUGAUCGGUAGCGUGCCUGACAGCGUGAUCCGCUACACUGGUACUGAGAUACGGACCAGACUCCUACGGGAGGCAGCAGUGAGGAAUAUUGGUCAAUGGAGGAUACUCUGAAGCAGCCACGCCGCGUGCAGCAAGAAGGCCCUAUGGGUUGUAAACUGCUUUUGUAUAGGAAUGAACAUUCUUACGAGAUAAGAAUCAUGAAGGUACUAUACGAAUAAGUGUCGGCAAACUCCGUGCCAGCAGCCGCGGUAAUACGGAGGACACAAGCGUUAUCCGGAUUUAUUGGGUUUAAAGCGUGCGUAGGCGGUUUAUUAAGUCAGUAGUGAAAUGUUGCAGCUUAACUGUUAAAAUGGCUAUUGAUACUGAUAAG
rnacentral:rRNA from 1 species